rnacentral:rRNA from 1 species
CGUAUGUCACAAGCGUUAUCCGGAUUUAUUGGCGUAAAGACGCGUCUAGGUGGUUAUAUAAGUCUGAUGUGAAAAUAGCAGAGCUCAACUCUGUAUUGCGUUGGAAACUGUGUAACUAGAGUACUGGAGAGGUAAGCGGAACUACAAGUGUAGAGGUGAAAUUCGUAGAUAUUUGUAGGAAUGCCGAUGGGGAAGGCCAGCUUACUGGACAGAUACUGGCGCUAAAGCGCGAAAGCGUGGGUAGCAAACAGGAUU